CCUACGGGGGGCAGCAGUGGGGAAUAUUGCACAAUGGGCGCAAGCCUGAUGCAGCCAUGCCGCGUGUGUGAAGAAGGCCUUCGGGUUGUAAAGCACUUUCAGCGGGGAGGAAGGCGGUGGGGUUAAUAACCUCAUCGAUUGACGUUACCCGCAGAAGAAGCACCGGCUAACUCCGUGCCAGCAGCCGCGGUAAUACGGAGGGUGCAAGCGUUAAUCGGAAUUACUGGGCGUAAAGCGCACGCAGGCGGUCUGUCAAGUCGGAUGUGAAAUCCCCGGGCUCAACCUGGGAACUGCAUUCGAAACUGGCAGGCUAGAGUCUUGUAGAGGGGGGUAGAAUUCCAGGUGUAGCGGUGAAAUGCGUAGAGAUCUGGAGGAAUACCGGUGGCGAAGGCGGCCCCCUGGACAAAGACUGACGCUCAGGUGCGAAAGCGUGGGGAGCAAACAGGAUUAGAUACCCCGGUAGUC
rnacentral:rRNA from 1 species